GACUAACGCUGGCGGCGUGCCUAACACAUGCAAGUCGAACGAAGCAGCAAUGCUUAGUGGCACACGGGUGAGUAACGCGUGGAUAAUCUGCCUGAUGCUCUGGGAUAACAUCUCGAAAGGGGUGCUAAUACCGGAUAAGCCCACGGACUCUUCGGAGUUUGCGGGAAAAGGAGGGGACUUUCGGGCCUUCCGACAUCAGAUGAGUCCGCGUCCCAUUAGCUAGUUGGUGGGGUACAGGCCUACCAAGGCGACGAUGGGUAGCUGGUCUGAGAGGAUGAUCAGCCACAAUGGAACUGAGACACGGUCCAGACUCCUACGGGAGGCAGCAGUGGGGAAUUUUGCGCAAUGGGGGAAACCCUGACGCAGCAACGCCGCGUGAGUGAUGAAGGCCUUCGGGUCGUAAAGCUCUGCCAGAGGGAAAGAAAUGUGGGCGGCUAAUAUCCGUUCCACUUGACGGUACCCUCAAAGGAAGCACCGGCUAACUCCGUGCCAGCAGCCGCAGUAAUAC
rnacentral:rRNA from 1 species